AUUGAACGCUGGCGGCAUGCUUUACACAUGCAAGUCGGACGGCAGCACAGAGAAGCUUGCUUCUUGGGUGGCGAGUGGCGAACGGGUGAGUAACAUAUCGGAACGUACCGAGCAGUGGGGGAUAACUAAUCGAAAGAUUAGCUAAUACCGCAUAUCCUCUGAGGAAGAAAGCAGGGGACCAUUUGGCCUUGCGCUGUUUGAGCGGCCGAUAUCUGAUUAGCUAGUUGGUGGGGUAAAGGCCUACCAAGGCGACGAUCAGUAGCGGGUCUGAGAGGAUGAUCAGCCACACUGGGACUGAGACACGGCCCAGACUCCUACGGGAGGCAGCAGUGGGGAAUUUUGGACAAUGGGCGCAAGCCUGAUCCAGCCAUGCCGCGUGUCUGAAGAAGGCCUUCGGGUUGUAAAGGACUUUUGUCAGGGAAGAAAAGGGCGGGGUUAAUACCCCUGUCUGAUGACGGUACCUGAAGAAUAAGCACCGGCUAACUACGUG
rnacentral:rRNA from 1 species